AAUAGAUACCCGGGUAGUCCACGCCGUAAACGAUGAGUGCUAAGUGUUAGAGGGUUUCCGCCCUUUAGUGCUGCAGCAAACGCAUUAAGCACUCCGCCUGGGGAGUACGGCCGCAAGGCUGAAACUCAAAGGAAUUGACGGGGGCCCGCACAAGCGGUGGAGCAUGUGGUUUAAUUCGAAGCAACGCGAAGAACCUUACCAGGUCUUGACAUCUCCUGACAACCCUAGAGAUAGGGCGUUCCCCUUCGGGGGACAGGAUGACAGGUGGUGCAUGGUUGUCGUCAGCUCGUGUCGUGAGAUGUUGGGUUAAGUCCCGCAACGAGCGCAACCCUUGAUCUUAGUUGCCAGCAUUCAGUUGGGCACUCUAAGGUGACUGCCGGUGACAAACCGGAGGAAGGUGGGGAUGGACGUCAAAUCAUCAUGCCCCUUAUGACCUGGGCUACACACGUGCUACAAUGGAUGGUACAAAGGGCUGCGAGACCGCGAGGUUAAGCGAAUCCCAUAAAACCAUUCUCAGUUCGGAUUGCAGG
rnacentral:rRNA from 1 species